UACGUAGGGUGCAAGCGUUGUCCGGAAUUAUUGGGCGUAAAGAGCUCGUAGGCGGUUUGUUGCGUCGGCUGUGAAAACCUGAGGCUCAACCUCAGGCCUGCAGUCGAUACGAGCAGACUAGAGUGUUGCAGGGGAGACUGGAAUUCCUGGUGUAGCGGUGAAAUGCGCAGAUAUCAGGAGGAACACCGGUGGCGAAGGCGGCGUCCUGGGACCAACACUGACACUGAUGAGCGGAAAGCCAGGGGGAGCAAACGGG
rnacentral:rRNA from 1 species